AACUAAUUGCAACAUUUUAGGAGGCCUCAAACAGCCCCUUCCUAUCAAAACAGAAACCAGUCAAUGCCUACUUGAACUGGAAAAUCAGUAUUUAUAACAUUGCAAGUCAUGGCUUCCAGUUUGCGAUUAGAAUUACAAAAGGUGUUGGGAUGAUUAAUGCAACAACAGCAAACCAGAGAAAGGAGGAGAUGUUUGGGAAGGUUUCGGUUGUUUAAUUGUUGGUUGUAGGAAAGUUCUGAUUUCUGCUAUGGGGUUGCUUCAGCCCUCUGAGGGUAACUGUGCUCUUUUCCAGCUCUAAUUUCAAAGCUGUGUAUCUUGUGAGAAGUGUCAGAUGCCCUUUGGGGGAGAGGAAGGCCUGAAGAUCAGACCUUUCCAACAUGUGUUGUAUUGCUUUGUGGCAGCUGGAAAUAGAGAUGGGGUGUUUGAUUCAGGAAGAGGGGAUGACAACCUCACUGUUGUAGAAAAGGAAACAGUGGCAUUGAUUCAAACCAGUAAAAGACACCUCUUGGUUCCCUGGUACAACUCCGUCUUUUAAAUGGUGACAUCUGUACUUAAAUGGUUAUACCAGGUAUUCUGCCUGAAAUCUUACUCUACUGUUUGAGUAGUUAGAGAUCCAC
rnacentral:lncRNA from 1 species